CUAGGGAGUGGGAGAGGUAGACGGUACUCGGUAGGAAGGGGUAAAAUCCUUUGAUCUAUUGAUGACCACCUGUGGCGAAGGCGGUCUACCAGAACACGUCCGACGGUGAGGGAUGAAAGCUGGGGGAGCAAACCGGAUUAGAUACCCGGGUAGUCCCAGCUGUAAACUAUGCAAACUCAGUGAUGCAUUGGCUUGUGGCCAAUGCAGUGCUGCAGGGAAGCCGUUAAGUUUGCCGCCUGGGAAGUACGUACGCAAGUAUGAAACUUAAAGGAAUUGGCGGGGGAGCACCACAAGGGGUGAAGCCUGCGGUUCAAUUGGAGUCAACGCCAGAAAUCUUACCCGGAGAGACAGCAGAAUGAAGGUCAAGCUGAAGACUUUACCAGACAAGCUGAGAGGUGGUGCAUGGCCGUCGCCAGCUCGUGCCGUGAGAUGUCCUGUUAAGUCAGGUAACGAGCGAGAUCCCUGCCUCUAGUUGCCACCAUUACUCUCAGGAGUAGUGGGGCGAAUUAGCGGGACCGCCGCAGUUAAUGCGGAGGAAGGAAGGGGCCACGGCAGGUCAGUAUGCCCCGAAACUCUGGGGCCACACGCGGGCUGCAAUGGUAACGACAAU
rnacentral:rRNA from 1 species